rnacentral:rRNA from 1 species
UACGUAGGGGGCAAGCGUUGUCCGGAUUUAUUGGGCGUAAAGAGCGUGUAGGCGGCCAGGUAGGUCAGCUGUGAAAACUCGAGGCUCAACCUCGAGACGCCGGUUGAAACCAUCUGGCUAGAGUCCGGAAGAGGAGAGUGGAAUUCCUGGUGUAGCGGUGAAUGCGUAGAUAUCGUAAGGAAGACCAGUGGCGAAGGCGGGUCUCUGGACAGUUCCUGACGCUGAGCACGAAGGUCAGGGGAGCAAACGGGAUUAGAAACCUGAGUACGUACCUAGCC